AUGAAAAAAAAUAUCACUAGGGGCGCAUCUGUUUUCUGGUGCGUCAUUAGUGUCUUCCACACUAAUGGCGCAUCACCAACUGAUGCGCCAUUAGUAUAUAGUAGUGGCGCACUGCUUCCCUGGUGCGCCAUUAGUGUCAAUCCUAUCUAUAGCCCUUUUCCUAGUAGUGUAGAUAUCUCUGACUCUGAGUUAGGUGCUUUGAUCGUCGAGGAGGAGGUCUGGGCAGCCAUCAAUGAUCUUCCCGGUGAUAAACCAUCGGGCAUCGAUGGCUUCACUAGAGCUUUUUUCAAAUAAUGUUGGGACAUCAUCAAGCCAGAAAUUAUGAAAGUGAUCAACAACUUCUCAACCCUCCACAUUUCCAACCUUCACUGGCUCAACUUGACCAAUAUUGCCCUCAUCUCAAAAAAAGAUGGGGCGGAGGACAUAUCCGGCUUGAGAUCUAUAAGUCUCAUCCAUGCGGUUGUGAAGAUCAUUGCCAAGAUGAUGGUCCCUUGUCUAACCCCUCACAUGCCAAAUAUUGUUUCCAAUACGCAAAGUGCAUUCAUCAAGAAAAGAAGCAUACAUGAUAACUUUAUGUAUGUCCGUGACUUGGCUCGUCGAUUUCACUGCAACAAAUCUCCAAUAUUGCUCUUCAAGUUAGACAUCAAAAAAGCUUUCUACUCGGUUAGGUAGGACCACUUGAUGUAUUUAUUGAGACACCACCACUUACCAAGCCGAUUUCGCGACUAG
rnacentral:rRNA from 1 species